UAGGGAGUUUUCGGCAAUGGGGGAAACCUUGACCGAGCAACGCCGCGUGAGUGAUGAAGGUCUUCGGAUCGUAAAGCUCUGUUACGAGGGACGAAGGACCGGCUCAGGAAAUGGGGCCGGUUUGACGGUACCUCGCCAGAAAGUGACGGCUAACUACGUGCCAGCAGCCGCGGUAAUACGUAGGUCACGAGCGUUAUCCGGAAUUAUUGGGCGUAAAGAGUGAGCAGGCGGCAUGGUAAGUCCGUAGUCAAAGCGUGGGGCUCAACCCCAUAUAGCUUCGGAUACUGCCAGGCUAGAGUACGUCAGAGGUCAACAGAACUCCAUGUGUAGCGGUGAAAUGCGUAGAUAUAUGGAAGAAUACCGGUGGCGAAGGCGGUUGACCAGGGCGAUACUGACGCUCAGUCACGAAAGCGUGGGGAGCAAAUAGG
rnacentral:rRNA from 1 species